UGUCACGGUUCUGGGUCAGUGUUGACCCAGCAUUUUGAGUUUCUUAUAUUUUGGUUUAUUUUUGCAUUAUGGAUUAUUUUCUGAUGUUCUGGUGCUUUGUUCAUUAUUAUUAUUAGCAAUAAAGCUGUGUAUUUUGAAGUUUCUUCCGCCUCCGUGAGUCCUGCAUUUUGGGUCCUCUCUUCCUGCCUGCCUACAAACAGACAUGACACAGACACCCUGUAUUUUUCCUCACUACUACACAUCAGCCCUUGCGAGCACAACGCUUCGUUCAGCAGGACGGACAGCAAAGCUAACAGUGUUCUUUUGUUGUUUAACAUGGACUUCAUAUAUGGGUCAAUAAGCUGUCCAGAAAUACCUACAGCAGCGGGAGCAAUAAGACCAAGCCUUACAUUAGACCUGAGACAGAGUACGCAGCGUGUCAAGAACCGGGGCCAUCCAGAAUAACACAGACCUGUGUGUGUGUGUGUGUGUGUGUGUGUUUAACACACGUCUAUCUCUACAGCAAUCACACAACCCCUUCCCACGAUGCGGACCAUGAAGACCCCUUGAUGCUUUUGGAAUAUAUACGCGAUAUUGAACUCCCAGAACAACAAGAAAAACCACAAGCUUUGUGCAACAAUGGAGACUAAGAACCAUUCUUCAUCACCGGACCAUACAUACACGCGAGUGCCUGCCUUGUGAUUUCAGCGAUAUUUCUGAGUACAGCCUAUCAGAUUUCAAUAUAGUUGACAUACCCACUACGCCAGAAUGUCUCAGAAACAACAGUGAUACAGACAUAGGUUUUGAAGAAGGCUGCAUAACAGACUCGCAAAUAUCACAGGCAUAUGACGCAUACUUAAAUGCAGCAAACACCUCUAAUUUUGAUCAGAGCCAUUCUGCUUCAAACAACGAUAUACUAUCUUUGAUCGAUGCUAAACUCAGCCAACAUCAACAAGCAGUACAGAGGGAUGUGCAAGAAAUAGCAGCUAAAGUCAACCAACAUCAAGAAGCAGCACAGGGGGACUUGCAAUUAAUAGCAGUGGCUCUAACUAGUACCCAGCAGGCAAUAAACAAUACCUGGGGUUCAUUAGAUCUCAUUAGUACCCGAUUUUUAAAUCGCUGACUUUUAAAAUCUACACCAUAGACCCACCCCGUAAAUUACUCAAACACAAUGAUGGUACCUCCACUCGAGCUAAAUGGUUUCACUUUGAGGCUUUUAACCAGUGGGCUGCACAAAUAAUAAACAAAUGCGAAGUUUUGCAUGCAAGACUUAGUAGUGUCGCUGUAGCAGACAGUCCUGUGUCUAAUGCACGUCCUUGUCCAACUCAUUCUGAAGCUGUUGCCGAUGAUGCUGUUUAUAUCGAUGUUGUUGCUCAUGCAACCGAUUCACAUCCGGAUAUGCCUAAUGUCACGGCUGUUGCUGCCGCUGCUGUAGGGACUGUUGUUACUCAGGCUACCGCUGAUUGUCUUAUUGCUGAGGCUUCUGUCACAGCUGAUCGGGGGUGUGCACCUGGCGUACAUGCGUAUCUGGGUGCCGCUACAGCUGCUGCUGACGCAUCACCACACAACCCCUCAAACAAUGGAAAUUCCUUAAGUGUUAACCAUUCACAAACAGGUGCUGCAGUAUUCGAGCCCAUUGUUCAGUCUGGGGCAGGCAGUUAGUCAGCGUAGCAUUAGAGAGAUACUUAAUUUCAACGCCCGAGAAUUGCGUGAGCGCCUUGAUUUUAGGGACAUAAGUCUUGAUGAUCCAGAACAAGUGUCAGAAAGAGUUAGAAGCUGCCAAUGUGAUAGAGCUGUGGCUGGAUCUCAGCAGGGUCAUGUUCUAAAUGUGGUCCUGCGUGGACCCUCGUUGGCUUCAGAUGGUCAAGCUGUUUUAAAUCCUGAUGAUCAGUAUGACCCUGACCUGUUUCUCGACCAAAUAGCUCAAGUUAUGCAAAGUAAUGACGAAUUUAUAGGUGAUGGUGAAUUAGAGUUUAUUGUCACGGUUGUGCAAAACAGUAGCGGUGGCGGCGGUGCUAUAAUUCGCAGGGUUUGUGGAGUGUUCUGCUGGUGAGAGAUAGCAAACCACAGAUCGUUCUAUUGAGAGAUAUGGAGCCAGAGAGGCAGAGGAGAGGUUCUGUCGUGUGGGAGUAUUUUUGUUUGAUUUUGGUCAGUUUUGGUUGGGUUUGCCAGUUUUGUGUUCUUUUUUUUUUUUUUUCUUUUUUUUUCUUUUUGUGGGUUUAUUUUAUCUAAAAACUUGUCAAAUUGUCAAAAAUCUGCUUUUCAUAAUGUACAUAUCAUGAAAUAACUUUAGAAAGACUU